rnacentral:rRNA from 1 species
UACGUAGGGUGCAAGCGUUAAUCGGAAUUACUGGGCGUAAAGCGUGCGCAGGCGGUUAUGUAAGUCAGGUGUGAAAUCCCCGGGCUUAACCUGGGAACUGCAUUUGAGACUGCAUCGCUGGAGUGCGGCAGAGGGGGAUGGAAUUCCGCGUGUAGCAGUGAAAUGCGUAGAUAUGCGGAGGAACACCGAUGGCGAAGGCAAUCCCCUGGGCCUGCACUGACGCUCAUGCACGAAAGCGUGGGGAGCAAACAGG